rnacentral:misc_RNA from 1 species
GAUUCUGAGCGCUGCUGGCUCGAAAGAGUGAAGCUCGUUCGUAAUACAUGAGCAUCUCUAUUCAAAUUCGGAUUGACUCAGCGUAAUAGACUAUUCGCUGAGGACACCUCUCGGUGGCCGAAAGACGAAACGAGAAGCUGCUAGCCAGUCAACUUUUUGAUUUAGACCUCAAAUCAGGCAGGAUUACCCGCUGAACUUAA